AUUGAACGCUGGCGGCAGGCUUAACACAUGCAAGUCGAGCGGGGGAAGGUAGCCUGCUACCGGACCUAGCGGCGGACGGGUGAGUAAUGCUUAGGAGUCUGCCUAUUAGUGGGGGACAACAUCUCGAAAGGGAUGCUAAUACCGCAUACGUCCUACGGGAGAAAGCAGGGGAUCUUCGGACCUCGCGCUAAUAGAUGAGCCUAAGUCGGAUUAGCUAGUUGGUGGGGUAAAGGCCUACCAAGGCGACGAUCUGUAGCGGGUCUGAGAGGAUGAUCCGCCACACUGGGACUGAGACACGGCCCAGACUCCUACGGGAGGCAGCAGUGGGGAAUAUUGGACAAUGGGGGGGACCCUGAUCCAGCCAUGCCGCGUGUGUGAAGAAGGCCUUAUGGUUGUAAAGCACUUUAAGCGAGGAGGAGGCUACUUUAGUUAAUACCUAGAGAUAGUGGACGUUACUCGCAGAAUAAGCACCGGUUAACUCUGUGCCAGCCGCCGCCGUAA
rnacentral:rRNA from 1 species